rnacentral:lncRNA from 1 species
GCUGGCGUCUCCUCCGACCCAAAGGAGAGCUGUGGUGUAUGUGAGUGCGAGUGAGCGAGGCAGAGGCGGAGAAACUACGCGGUGUGGCUGCAGGUGGAGCCUUGGACCAACUGGCCAGCGCCGCUUCCUUCCACCAGGAUUCCUGGCCCCACCGCGCGCUAGGCGGAGGCUCAGCGGGGGCGACUCUGGCUGGAGCCCAGCCCUCACCUCCCCCACCCCCACAUCUGCUCUAGCUAGGAAAAAAAAAAAGAAAAAAAAAAUCCCGGACAGCAUUGCUGAGUCCUGCCAAAUCAGAAAAAUAAAUAAAAAUAGACGUAGUGCAGGAGCGAGUUACAAGAAAGGUUUUGUUCAUCGAUUUUCUUAAAUGGAAAAGUUUUAAAGGAUGAGGGUAAGUGAACGGCGAGCUUUUCUGAUUCUGAUUACUGUUAUCAAGAGGUAGAUUCCAGAAGCGAUGGACGCUCUACGUAGUUAGAUGAAUUGGAUAGAAGCCGGUGCGGUUAAAAAUACACUUGGAAGAUAAGAACACAGCUAUUAAUUACGCACAUACACACGUUAAUAAAGCAUGUGAAGUAAGCAAAUAAACUACAGUGCAGAGAAUGGCGUUUUUAACGACGGCGAUCUAUUUUAAAACUUAAUGAAGUUCACAUUUUGUGGACUGGUCUUAGAAAUAAGUAAACUUCAGAAAUAACACGCAUACAAUUCCAGUGAGAACCCAAAAGGUUUAUGGAAGAAGAAAAUCGCAACCACUUCCAAGGCGCUAUUGUUAUGAUCACAUGAAGAAUGGCAGGCACAGCCUUCUUUCACCACUUGAACUUUCAAUAGCUACAAAGUCUUGCAGUUACAGGCUUGUGCCAACUCGUCGGGCCACACCACGUUCCCCUCCCCCUGCCGCUGCGCCCCGAAAUCAACUGCGCGCCGCGGCUCUUGCUCCCCAAGGGGGCUUCGCAGAUGGUACGGAUCCUAGUCGCAACCUUUAAACAAAGUAACAUCGGGCGGCCCAGCAGUUCUCGGAGAGAUAUUUACUAGUCAUGGAGUUGGCUGAGAAAAGCAAGUGCGGAGAUCGGGGUCUCAGUCCCACUUAGGCCGAGUUUCUUUAUAUUGGAAACUGUACCUGUUCCCUAAUUGGGACUAAGACCACUAAUAAGUCCACGUUCCCUCUUUGGUCGCUUCUCUAAGUACAGACAUCUGCUUAAGAGGCUUCACGAAGAAUAAAUGCACAUGGGUCAACACCCAUUCCCCCCGCACCACUACCACCACCUGGAAAAGGGAGGAAAGUCCAUGUGAAGACACAGUGAGAAGGCAAGAAGGCAUCCAUCUGCAAGUCAGGAAAAGAGCCCUCAUCAGAAACCAAAUGUUGUGAGAACUUGAUCUUGGACUUCCCAGCCUCCAGAACUGUCUCACAUGAAGGAAGAUGUUCACCCUGAGGACAAGGCCCCUGCAUGCAUUCUCAGGACGUUCAUGUUUUCUUUACCCAUUCCCUUCCAUUCAAAUAGCUCUUGUCAGCGACCCAUUUUGUGAAUGGAGACAUUUCUGCUUUGAAGUCAUAAUUUAUCCUGCAAGAGCUGCUAAAAGAAGCACUUUUAAACUCAGAUCUGAGCGAAGGCUGGGAAUUGGUUGUUGCAAGUAGAAAAUGAGUCACAGAUGUACAAAGACAUUAGAAGGCUGCCUGCAACAUAGAAGCAAAAUGCUCCAGGAGGCUGACCUGAAUGACAUACAUCAGUGAACUCCUUUGGCCUCUGUCAGACCCACCAAAUCAGAAAAUCUUACACUCCUACAAGAAAUUCAUGGUAAGAUGAAAGAGCCACAUCUGGGGCUGGGCACCUGCAGGCACAGACCCAUUCACCUGCCACUUUUGCAGUAGUGUCUUUCCCUCAGCUCACACCCACAUCUCCGUGGGGGCAGGAGCCCCUAGGAUCGGCUGAUGAAGGAGGUAAAAGGCCAAACUUGGUUUACAGAGGGGUUGGCUCUUUAUAUGGGUAUAAGCAGUAUAGGGCCUGCUUACUACAGCUCUGUUCAGGGGUGGUCUGAAAGAAAGACUGAAGAGAAAUUCUUCUAACAAGCAGAGAUCUGGGAAGUGUACAUGUUUAUCCACUUCGUGUGCAAAGAGAAGUGGUGUACAGUAAGAACACAUGUGGGCUCAUUGUCAGUAAAAAAAAAAUGGCUUGUCCAGUUAACCAGAGCCAGGAAGGAGAAAGUUUGGAGGAUUAGGGUUGAAGAGACCUAGGGAAGAAGUGCGUGAAAGCCUCUUUGAGAGAGAUAAUGUGUGACAAGGUUUGUAUCAAAUAUUAAUGCUCAACAGAGAGUAUCUUCCAGGGAAAAGGCACUACAACCCAGUAGGCAAAAGGACCCAGCCAGUUGACAUCAGUCAUUGGUCACUCUGAUGCUAACAAAUGGACCUCACACCAUGGCAGCAGAGAUGGAAGCUAUGCAUAGAUCCAACAGCAUGGGCGCCCUCUUACUAAGACUGAUCUGCCACCCUGUAUGUCCAGCCUUGUAGGAACAUAGACCAAUACUGAGCCACUGAUUCAGCACAUCCUCUGUGGAGACCAACCAGCCACUUGGUGGCAAGAGAUUACAUUGGAACCCUCUCAUCUCAGAAGGAGCAGUGCUUCGUGUUGACUGAAUCAACAUGUGCACCAGAUACAAGACUCCCUUUUCUGCCUGGAAUAAUCUGCCAGUAUGACUCUCAAAAGGCUUAACUCACGGACAUAGGAUCCCAUGUAGCACUGCAUUGGAUUGAGAGAUAGAGAACUCAGUUAAAAACAAGGAGGUGUGGCAGUGGGCCCUUGACUAUGGUAUCCCCUGGCCUUAUCACAUCCUAUGUCACUCAGAAGUUGAGAUCUGAAAGAGUGAAAAAAAAGCUGCUUACUAGCCACUGAGGACCCAGCUUGGAGAUGAUAAGCUGUGAAGAUGGGCGCUGUUCUCCAGACAUAAUAUAUAUGUCCUAAAUCAACAACCUUUCCCUAGAGCUGUGUCCCCAGUAGAUAGCAAGUGCGAGUCUGGAAAUCAAAGAGUAGAAAUAGGCAUAGCUCGGCUUAUAUCACUUCAAGUGACCAAUGUAGGGAAUUUAUGCUUCUUACUACACUCCCAGGCUUUUGUGGUUUAGAAGUCCUAGUUUCUAAAGGGAGAACAUUUCCACCAGGAAACUCAGCAGGAGACCCAUUAAGCUUUAAGCUAUGCUUACUGAAUGUCGCUCAUGCCAAAGCCUAUCAGAAAAGGGAAAUAGCCUUCAUCCCAGCAGGAGUAAUGGGCCCUGAUGAUCAGGAGGAGGUGGGGCUGCUGUUACUCCCUGGGAUUCUCUUGGAACCCUCUUGCCUAAUUUCAACAAAAAAUGGACAAAUGCAGUGGUCAUGGCCUGAGAAAGGCUCAGAUCUUACUGUUGAAGGUGGAGGUGUCCCCAACAGGUAAGCCUCUUAGACCAUCAGAGGUGUUAGCCAAGGGUGAGGAGAAUCUAGAAUGAGUAGGGGAGGAGAGAAAUGAUGUGUGUAGUUACCUUGAAACUGCAGCAUGGGAGUUGGGGGGGUUCUGGGGCUAUAAUUCCUGUCACUGGCCUUCCUCUUGUUAAGUUUACCUAGGAAAACAGGCCAGCGAGAAUCUUGGAGGGGCUGUUCCCAAGUUUUGCUAUAAAAUGAAAGUGAAUCCAAGUGGCCUGGGGCUGAAUCUGAGUUCAUGCUGUGGGCACUGCCCAGAUGCCUUGUCAGAGCUAAGAUCAUUCUCCCAGCUACUGAGAGUGUGGGUAACCUGUGAUGCUUAGCUGAGUCCCUCUCCAGGAAUUGCCUUUAGCAAAAAAUGAGCCACCUCUCUUCACCCAGACCACACUCCCCUCCCCAGGGAAUGUACAGCCCAAUUCAGUGUGUGGUCAGUGCAGAAGCAGAAAGGCUCAAUUUGCCUGCAUCUAGUGAGACAUCUAGGAGGGUUCAUCCUACUCCCUGAACUCCCCAUGGGGUUGACUGAGGCCUUCGUCACAACUUCAUUGCAGUUCAUACCUCCCUUUGCCCCAUCCCACUUCUUUCAUUCUGCAUGGGCAUCGAUCUUGAUCGAGGCCACUCCCCAGAACACUCCCUGCCUGCAUGUCUCUCUCAGGAGUCUGCUGCCUGGGGGUUGGAUUUAAGACACAUGCUGGUCUUCCCCUAGGAGUAAUUUCCCUGUCCACACUUUUGAUCAAAUUUCCUUGAAUUAUCUUAAUUUGAGUGUGCCCUCUGAAUUUUGAUGGGAUCUGGACUGACGGGGCAGGGUAUUGGGCUAGGGACAUGACUGGCAGGUAAGUCUGCCUAAUUCUGAGGCUCAGUAUUAGUAGGACUCUUUACUGACACAUGGAAUUUGUAUUCUCAAACGUACCAAAAUCAGCUUACUAAAGAUAUUUUGGUCUCCACCUUAAUUCUUUGUUUGUUAAAAGUAAUGGCAAAAACCACAAUUCCUUUUGUACCGACCUAAUCAACUAUUCAGAACCUGAAUGGAAGCCACUCCUUGGUGGUUCCCUUAGAAACCUCAGCCCCAUCCAGAGCCCUUGUAUCAGAUUUGGAUGGAAAGGGCAUGUGUUUAGCCCGUUCAAGGGUGACUUUUAGACAGUCCUCUCUCUCUCUCUGUGUGUGUGUGUGUGUGUGUGUGUGUGUGUGUGUGUGUGUGUGUGUAGGUUCAGCCUUUUCUCACUAAGACAGUUAUUUUCACCCAUAGGCAGGCACCCUGAUGGGAGAGGCAGGAUGAAUGGAUCUCUUUGAUACUCAAAGUUUUUUAAGCCAUUGAUGUGUUAUGUGUCUAAAAUAAUAUUCUUUUUUGAAAAAUUAUUGUUUCAUGAUAUGAUUAAUAAAUUAUUUUCUUUGUUAAAUAUCGAUUAAAAAUUAUAUUAAUAAUUAUGUUAAUAAUUAAGAAUUAUAGAUAAGGAUAAAAUUCCUUUUGACUGUUACAGCAGUCCACUCCCAAGAGAAUAAACUGUUACCUUCCAGACCUUUUCAAAAUUGACAGGAUCUAUUUAAAGUCCUGUAUUUUAUUUGACCAGAAAAUUCUAUUUUUCAGAUGUUACAUUUAAGAAAACUUCUUGAAUGUACAUGACAAAGAAUGAACAAGCAUAUUUAUUGCAACAUUGUUUAUAAUAGCAAUAAAGGUAAGCAACUUAAUAGGGGACUAAAUAAAUUGUGGUAUAUUUUUACAAUGACAGAGUAUACAGUAGUAAAAACAGUGAGGUGGAGCCCUAAGUGCUAACUUGGAAAAAGCUUCAGGAAAUAUCACUGAGUGAAAAAGGAGAUUGCAGAAUGAUAAAUGUAAUGUGAUGCAUUUUAUCAGGGCUAUUUAGGAAAAUUAUGGCCUAAUAGAAAUGACCUGGGCUGAGUGAGAGGAGCAGAAAUGGGGAGAGUGAUUAUUGCCCCUCGCUUGCUUUGCCUCCUUUAGCCAUUUCUUCCUGUUCUCUCAAUCAUUCUUUCCCCUCUUUCACUCCACAUUCUUUCCUUUCUUCAUCACUUCUUUUCAUAGUUAAAAUUGAAGCCAAGUCUACCCUCUAGGAAUUGUAUGUGUUUGUGCUCAUUAACAACCAGUUGAACUCUGUUGAUUAGCAAUAUGGUCAAUCCAAACUGGUUGUUAAAGUGUCAAAAUAAAUGGAUCCAAUACCUGCACCCGGGCUCACAUGAUCUCGUUGAUGAAUAAUUAAUAUAGCCUCAAUAUGAUGCAUUAUAUGGAAACCUGCCUGCUUUGGCUACUGUGAAAGCUUAAAAAUAAACCAACCACUUGACAAAGUUACAAAAAAAUAUAUAAAAAAGAAAUUUGCAGUAUGGGUUGAAUGAAUAAUAAAUAUAUAGUGUUUGCAUUAAAGAAAGUACCAGUGGCAUUGUACUUUGUGUUAUUAUUAGAGUGUGUAGAUUAUUUGAUUUGAAGAAUUCUAGUUUAAUGACUUCCUUUUGCACUGAAGGAAAUAGUGGCCCAGGGAAGUAAGGUCGUAAAGCAGGCCUGUUCAGUGGUCUUCCGGUAACACACUUUGUAGGUAAUAGAGAUGGUCAUUCUCCUUUCCUUUCGGAAUAGUUCCAUCUCUCUCUGCUAUGGUAGGAACCAAAUGUGUGGAUCCUCUUUUACUCAUAGGUCUGUAUCUGGGGCACAAGCCUUAUGGCGUGGAUAGAAAUGGCUGACACAGUGCUGAAUUGGCUUAGGAAAAGGAAGACCGAUGCUGGGUUUCUCUGGAGCUCUGUGUCAUAGUUUGAAGAUGACUCCAAUGCCAGAGCCUCUGGGAACAAAAUAAUAUGAGAAAUGAUCACAGAAGCGGUCAUUUUAAGCUAGAAGAAACUCAGAAGAAGGGUUACCAGAUUCUUACAAAGCAUCUAAUUAAACAUGAAUUUUAGAUAAACAAUGAAUACUUUUAAAGUAUAAUUAUACCCCAGAUAUUGCAUGGAACAAACUUAUACUAAAAAUUAUUCAUUUCUUAUCUAAAUUCAAAUUAAUUGGGUCUCAAGUGUUUUUAUUUGUUAAGUCUGUCUAGCCCAACAAGAUCUAUGUUGAAAUAUGUAACUCAAAAUGUCUUAUAACCUGAAGAACACACUAUUCUCUAUGUUUCUUUGUCUCUUUGACCCCAACGUUUUAAAUUAUGACCAAUACUUUAAACUCCAAAGGUAUUGGAUAUUAGAUCAAUUCAAGGACAAAUUUUGUAAAAACUGGAGUGUUCUGCAGCAGAACAGAUUGCCUCAAAAAUAGUGAAUUCCUCUGCCAAGGAUACGCCUGUAUCAACAUUUGUAAUGACAAAAAACUGGGAGAAACAUAAAAGGUCAUGAAUAAGCGACUGUUUAAAAAAAAUUAGGGACACGUCUACGCAAUGGAAUUCUCUACAGAUUUUUUUUCUAGCCUCAGCUGCUGUUAUAAUAGGACUGUCACCACUGUCAUAACCUGACCAAUCAACUAGUUUCCCAACAGACAAGCUGGUCUUUCUGAAACCUUAGAAGCAUUCAUCAUGCACUUCAGAAUGGUUUUCUGUCUGUACAUAAUGGGGAUUUCCAAGCAGAUCUUUAAGUAAAAAAAGCAUAACAAGCAGUAUGCAUGUUGACAUAGUUUGGGUGUUUGUUGAAAUGUGAUCCUUAACAUUGCAGGUGGGGCCUGGUGGAAGGUGAUAGGGACAUGCGGGUGAAUCCUUCAUGAAUGGCUUGGUGCCAUCCUUGUUCCCCUCUCUCUUGCUCCUGCUCUGGCCAUGUGACGCAUCUGUUCCCCCUUCUCUUCCGCUGUGACUAAAAGCUUCUUGAGGCUCUCACCAGAAGCAGACGCUGAUGCCAUGCUUCUUAUACAGCCUGCAGAACCAUCAGC